ensembl:lncRNA
GCAAAAUAGCAUUGGCAUACUUUUUCCCUUUCUCUUUUCCUGUUGAUUUUUUUAAGGUUGUGUAUUCCAUAGUUAAUAUGUAUAGCUAUUUGAACCUAAUAACUGUCAACUGCAGCCUUGCUUGAUGGCGCGGUCUCCAUUCCAUUUGCAUAGAUAUGGCCGAGUCCUUUACCGUUUUCAAACGUAGCGCACCGCGUAAAUGAAGAGGCCGCGGGCAGCCGAUGAUGAAGUGCACCUCUCCACAUUAGACGCUCUCUCUCUCUCCCCCGCUCUCUCUACCUCCCGCUCUCUCUACCUCCCGCUCUCUCACUCUCUCUCCCUCUCUCCCACUGUCUGUGUUUGUGUGUUGCUCUCUCUCUCUCUUUCUCUCUCUCUCUCUCGCUCUCUCUCUCCCACUCUCUCCCUCCCCCUCUUCCUUUCUCUCUCUCUCUCUCCUCUCCCCCCUCUCUCCCCCCUCCUCACUCUCUCUUGCUCCCUCUCUCUCUUUGCCAUUUUCACCGGGCAAAUCAACUGUAGCUGUUCCCUUUUAGAGACCCACCAAGUCAUUUCCUUUGCUUGAUGCAAAAAAGGAGGAGGGGAGUUGGAGCCCAACGUGGUAGGAGUCGAUUACGGAACAAUCGCCAUUGGCCAGCGUCCUCGGACACCUGGCAAAAACAGCGGAGCAUCAGACCCAGCUACAGCAGGCCCAGAACGAGGUCCUGGUGGAGCUUGGCCGCCGACCGGGAGGCCAUGCGGGGCUCCGGAGAACGUGGCGGGGAAACCCGACCGGGGCGACAAAUAUAUGUCCCCAAAAUGGGGGAGGCCGACGACCCAGAGGUCUUCCUGGAGACCUUCCGGGGGGUGGCCGAGGUCUCCAAGUGGCCGCCGCAGGAGUGGGCCCACCGUCUCCUGCCCCUGCUGACGGGAUGGGUCCCAGCUCGCGGCCCACAGCCUACCAGCAGCAGUCCAGAAGGACUUCGACACCAUCGCCAGGGCUAUCCGGGACCGGUUGGGCCUAAACCCGGAGGAACAUCGCCGCCGGUUCCGGGCCCUGGCCUUCACCGACGGCCGACGGCCCUUCACCUACACCCAGCAGCUGCGGGACCAGGCGAGGAGGUGGCUGGACCCGGAACGAAACACACAGGAGGGAGAUUCAGUAACUGGGGUUCCACCUGGGGCGGGGGAAGGUCCGGCCCCAGGUCGCCGCAGGUCGGUAAGAC